GACGAACGCUGGCGGCGUGCUUAACACAUGCAAGUCGAACGGAAAGGCCCUGCUUUUGUGGGGUGCUCGAUUGGCGAACGGGUGAGUAACACGUGAGUAACCUGCCCUUGACUUUGGGAGAACUUCAGGAAACUGGGGCUAAUACCGCAUAGGAUCUCCUGCUGCAUGGUGGGGGUUGGAAAGAGUCGGCGGUUGGGGAUGGACUCGCGGCUUAUCAGCUUGUUAGUGGGGUAGUGGCUUACCAAGGCUUUGACGGGUAGCCGGCCUGAGAGGGUGAACGGACACAUUGGGACUGAGAUAGGGCCCAGACUCGUAAGGGAGGCAGAAGUGGGGAAUAUUGCAGAGUGGGCCGACGCGUGAUGCAGCGACGCCGUGUGCGGGAUAACGGCCUUCGGGUUGUAAACCGCUUUCGCAUGUGACGAAGCGUGAGUGACGGUAAUGGGUAAAGAAGCACCGGCUAACUACGUG
rnacentral:rRNA from 1 species